rnacentral:rRNA from 1 species
GAUGAACGCUGGCGGCGUGCUUAACACAUGCAAGUCGAACGAUGAAGCCCAGCUUGCUGGGUGGAUUAGUGGCGAACGGGUGAGUAACACGUGAGUAACCUGCCCUUAACUCUGGGAUAAGCCUGGGAAACUGGGUCUAAUACCGGAUAGGAGCGCCUACCGCAUGGUGGGUGUUGGAAAGAUUUAUCGGUUUUGGAUGGACUCGCGGCCUAUCAGCUUUUUGGUGAGGUAAUGGCUCACCAAGGCGACGACGGGGAGCCGGCCUGAGAGGGUGACCGGCCACACUGGGACUGAGAGACGGCCCAGACUCCUACGGGAGGCAGCAGUGGGGAAUAUUACACAAUGGGCGAAAGCCUGAUGCAGCGACGCCGCGUGAGGGAUGACGGCCUUCGGGUUGUAAACCUCUUUCAGUAGGGAAGAAGCGAAAGUGACGGUACCUGCAGAAGAAGCACCGGCUAACUACGUG